CGUGCAGGCGGUUCUGUAAGUUGGAGGUUAAAUCUCUCGGCUCAACUGAGAGGCGUCCUUCAAAACUGCAGGGCUUGAGGAUGGGAGAGGGAAGUGGAAUUCCCGGUGUAGUGGUGGAAUGCGUAGAUAUCGGGAGGAACACCAGUGGCGAAGGCGGCUUCCUGGCCCAUUUCUGACGCUAAGACGCGAAAGCGUGGGGAGCGAACG
rnacentral:rRNA from 1 species